rnacentral:rRNA from 1 species
ACACAUGCAAGUCGAGCGGUACAGGCCUUCGGGUGCUGACGAGCGGCGGACGGGUGAGUAAUGCAUAGGAAUCUGCCUGAUAGUGGGGGAUAGCCCGGGGAAACCCGGAUUAAUACCGCAUACGCCCUACGGGGGAAAGGAUGGGCUCUUCGGACCAUUCGCUAUCAGAUGAGCCUAUGUCGGAUUAGCUAGUUGGUAGGGUAAAGGCCUACCAAGGCGACGAUCCGUAACUGGUCUGAGAGGAUGAUCAGUCACACUGGAACUGAGACACGGUCCAGACUCCUACGGGAGGCAGCAGUGGGGAAUAUUGGACAAUGGGGGCAACCCUGAUCCAGCCAUGCCGCGUGUAUGAAGAAGGCCUUCGGGUUGUAAAGUACUUUCAGUGGUGAGGAAGGGGAUAGCUUUAAUAGAGUUGUUCAUUGACGUUAGCCACAGAAGAAGCACCGGCAAACUCCGUGCCAGCAGCCGCGGUAAUACGGAGGGUGCGAGCGUUAAUCGGAAUUACUGGGCGUAAAGCGCGCGUAGGCGGUGACAUCAGCGAGAUGUGAAAUUCCCGGGCUUAACCUGGGGACUGCAUUUCGAACUGUGUCGCUAGAGUUUUGGAGAGGAGAGUAGAAUUCCCAGUGUAGCGGUGAAAUGCGUAGAGAUUGGGAGGAAUACCAGUGGCGAAGGCGGGUCUCUGGCCAAGAACUGACGCUGAGGUGCGAAAGCGUGGGAUCAACAGGAUUAGAUACCCUGGUAGUCCACGCUGUAAACGAUGAACACUAGCCGUUGGGGAAUUUAAUUCCUAAGUGGCGCAGCUAACGCGAUAAGUGUUCCGCCUGGGAAGUCCGCCCGCAAGGUUAAAACUCAAAUGAAUUGACGGGGGCCCGCACAAGCGGUGGAGCAUGUGGUUUAAUUCGACGCAACGCGAAGAACCUUACCUGGCCUUGACAUCCUGCGAACUUGGUAGAGAUACCUUGGUGCCUUCGGGAGCGCAGAGACAGGUGCUGCAUGGCUGUCGUCAGCUCGUGUUGUGAAAUGUUGGGUUAAGUCCCGUAACGAGCGCAACCCUUAUCCUUAUUUGCCAGCGGGUCAUGCCGGGAACUUUAGGGAGACUGCCGGUGACAAACCGGAGGAAGGUGGGGACGACGUCAAGUCAUCAUGGCCCUUACGGCCAGGGCUACACACGUGCUACAAUGGGACGUACAGAGGGAUGCAAAGCCGCGAGGUGGAGCGAAUCUCACAAAGCGUCUCGUAGUCCGGAUUGGAGUCUGCAACUCGACUCCAUGAAGUCGGAAUCGCUAGUAAUCGCGAAUCAGAAUGUCGCGGUGAAUACGUUCCCGGGCCUUGUACACACCGCCCGUCACACCAUGGGAGUGGAUUGCACCAGAAGUAGAUAGUCUAACCUUCGGGGGGACGUUUACCACGGUGUGGUUCACGACUGGG